UACGUAGGCAGCGAGCGUUGUUCGGAAUUACUGGGCGUAAAGAGUGUGUAGGCGGUGUUCCCAGUCUGUUGUGAAAUCUCCCGGCUUAACUGGGAGGGUGCAGCGGAACUAGAAUGCUAGAGGGUGGGAGAGGUAAGCGGAAUUCCUGGUGUAGCGGUGAAAUGCGUAGAUAUCAGGAGGAACACCUGUGGUGUAGACAGCUUACUGGACCACUUCUGACGCUGAGACACGAAAGCGUGGGUAGCAAACAGGG
rnacentral:rRNA from 1 species